GGUAUUCUCGAAAGCGGCCUAAGUUAAAUCAGUGGCCUAAACCUGGUUUAAACCAUGGACUAUCUUUUUUGCUAUUCUCGAAGGUGGCCUAAAGAUAAGCCAGGCUUAAAUACGUCAUAGUUCGGCCUAACUUUAGGCGGCUCAGAGGGCAGGUUUAAAUACGUCAUAGUUCGGCCUAACUUCGCGUGACGUCACUUUUUAGUUAAAUCGACUGUCCGCGGAGAGUGAACGGUUCUUUUCAAUUGAUGCAUGGGGAUGAAAAAAGAAGGCCUCUUCCAAGCUACGGUGUCCCGCCUUGUGAAGUCCAUCUCAAUAGCCAAUGCCAGGAGAUCGGACCAAUACAUCUCAAUUCCUUCAACAAGAGAGGCAGUCCUGCAGAGUGCAGACCCAACAUGAAUUUUAUAAUUACUGCCAUUUCCCUGGCGUUAAUAUGGUCGGUGCUAUUGAUUGCACCCACAUAGGCGUCUUCAAGCCAAUUGGCCCAACACCAGUUAUUUCCUGAACAGGAAAAAUAGAUACUCCAUUUUUCUUGGAAAGUCUGCUAGAUGAUGUUCUUCUUCAGUAAAAUAAAUGAAGGCAAAUUCCCUGAUAAUUGAGACAAAUUCAGAGAGAGGAAGGAGAACUACUGAGCUGCCGAAUUUCUGACAGACAUACUUGCAAGGACUAUGAAGUUCUACUUAGCCUCUUCAAUGAACCAGACUCUAUCUGCUGUAACUGUGACUGCAUGGGAAUCAAAACCUUUGUAUUAUGAUCCUCAUAACAUGAAGCUAACAAACAAGCAACCAUUGAUAAAAAGUCUGAUAUGUCCUUGUUGUGUGUGUGAACCACAAAGCAACCAUCGCUCAUAAGGAUGUUUUUAUAUACAUCAGAUGUUCAUUGUUUCACUGGAAAAAUUGUGAUUUUUGAGUUAUUUAAGAAAUCAUGUUUUAUAAUGUGUUUUAUAAUAAAGUGCAAGUCAUGAUAUAACAGAUUCCCUGCAAAAGAAAGACGGCUCAAAAGAAGACUAUGCUUUGUUUUUAAAAAAUGGGAAAAAGUAAUGUAACAAAUGCAGAACUUUGAAUUCUAAUAAUUUCAAAUAGCAGAUUAUGAGGCUAUUGGAGCUUAAUAUUUGACCUUCAAUUUUAUAAUCGUAUUCAUCGUGAAUUACAAUCUUUUCUGUUUUAAGAAAAAUAAAUAAAUUGAACAUAAUUGUUGAUAUGUUAUAUACAAUAUUCCUUUCAUAUCUUUUGAUUUUAAGUGUGCAUACUGUUGGGUUCUUUGAAUUAUACAUGGAAAAAGUCUGGAAAUAAAACAGUGAGAGAACAGAGAGCCAGCGAGAGAGAAAGAUAGAGUAAAAGAGAA
rnacentral:lncRNA from 1 species